rnacentral:rRNA from 1 species
CGCAAGCCUGACGGAGCAACGCCGCGUGUGGGAAGAAGGCUCUUGGGCUGUCAACCACUUUUCUCAGGGAAGAAGCCCUGACGGUACCUGAGGAAUCAGCCUCGGCUAACUCCGUGCCAGCAGCCGCGGUAAUACGGAGGAGGCAAGCGUUAUCCGGAAUUAUUGGGCGUAAAGCGUCCGCAGGGGGCACAUCAAGUCUGCUGUUAAAGCCUGGAGCUAAACUCCGGUAGAGCAGUGGAAACUGGUGUGCUAGAGGGCGACAGGGGUAGAGGGAAUUCCCAGUGUAGCGGUGAAAUGCGUAGAGAUUGGGAAGAACACCGGUGGCGAAAGCGCUCUACUGGGUCGCACCUGACCCUCAGGGACGAAAGCUAAGUAGCG